rnacentral:rRNA from 1 species
CGAGUGGCGGACGGGUGAGUAAUGUCUGGGAAACUGCCCGAUGGAGGGGGAUAACUACUGGAAACGGUAGCUAAUACCGCAUAAUGUCUACGGACCAAAGCGGGGGACCUCCGGGCCUCGCGCCAUCAGAUGAACCCAUAUGGGAUUAGCUUGUAGGUAAGGUAACGGCUUACCUAGGCGACGAUCCCUAGCUGGUCUGAGAGGAUGACCAGCCACACUGGAACUGAGACACGGUCCAG